rnacentral:snRNA from 1 species
GUGCUUGUUUUGUUAGUACAUAUACCAAAAUGGAAUGAUAUAGAGAAGACAGGCAUGCCUCCUGCAGGAGGAUGACACAUAUUCCAUAUUAUU